GUGUGUGCAGCCGCGGGGCCUAUAUCUUUUACAUGUGACUUGUGCGUAAAGCAAAAGUGACAAGUAGUGACGCGAUAUCACUAAGAAAAACAAUAAUGGAGGCGUGUAAUGCGGUUGAACGUGAAGUUGACAAGGUUUUAUUGAAAUUCGGUGCGAUAAACGAGCAUGCAGAGACGGUACUUCGCGAUUUGAUAAAUCACAUCGAGGCGUUGAAAAAGGAAUUCGAAGAAGCGCCGCUCGAUCAUGAACUGACACCAGGUCAAGCCCAAGUGUUGAAAGAAACGAUGACAAAGGUUCGUGAAACUGCCCAACGUUUGGCCACCGAUCACCGGGAGUUGCACAGUACAGUGUCCAAGGUAGGAAAGGCGAUCGAUAGAAACUUUACUGCCGACUUUGCGAGUACCAGCAGAGAAGAUGUUUUCUCUGGUCCAGAGAAAUCACAUUUGUUAAAUCAAGUCAUAUGUCAACAUUUCUAUCGUCACGGCAUGUUGGACAUUGCAGCAGAGUUAGCUGCGGAAACAGGAAUUAAAACGGAUGACGAAACAAAAGAACCGUUCACAGAAUUGAACUACAUACUCGAUUGCUUGAAGCAGAGAGAUUUAGAACCUGCGUUGGAUUGGGCUAAAAAGCACAGAGAGGCGCUUCUAGCACAGAAUUCUUCUCUGGAAUUUAAAUUACAUAGGUUACAUUUUAUAAGACUAGUUCAACAAGGUCCUGCGAAACAAACAGAAGCAAUAAUGUACGCUCGACAAAAUCUUACGCAAUACGUCGGGCGUCAUGGGAAAGAGGUGCAAGCUUUAAUGGGCACGCUACUUUAUUUGCCAAACGGGAUACAAUCCUCUCCUUAUAGUCAUUUGUUAGAUCCUACUUUGUGGCUCGAUAUUCACGACGUGUUUACAAGGGAGGCGUGCACGUUGUUGGGUUUAAGCGUGGACAGUCCUCUUUCUGUGUGCAUUAACGCGGGAUGUACUGCGUUGCCCACGCUUUUAAAUAUUAAACAAGUGAUGCAACAGAGGCAAGUAACGGGCGUUUGGAACGGGAAAGACGAGUUGCCGAUUGAAAUAGACUUGGGCAAACAGAGCCGUUACCAUUCUGUUUUCGCGUGUCCGAUUCUGAGACAACAGAGCACAGAGAAUAAUCCACCGAUGAAACUGGUUUGCGGUCACGUUAUCUCGCGAGACGCGCUGAACAAGCUCACCAGUGCAAACAAAUUGAAAUGCCCGUACUGUCCGGUGGAACAGAACCCAGAGGAUGCUAGACUUAUAUAUUUCUAGACUACUGUGAUACGACGGUUACGACAGAGAUGUUUUGUUAGAUCUCUACGGAAACAUCACGCUUAAACCAAUUUAACUACACACCUACGUCGGAGCAUCGUAUUCUGUGAAUUUUUAUGGUGUGUGUGCUCCGACAAGAUUCCUAACGACGGAAUUGUUUUUGCGGUGAUCAACGGUGAACCGUCGUUUCGACGUCGGAUUCGCAACUACUUUUUUCGAGAACAGCAAUUUGAAUAGCAGCGGAUCGACCGCGGUGCCAUGUAUCGUGGGCCCUCGCCAGGAAAAGAAUCCCAUAACUUCGCCCGAACGCGAAUAUCAGCGUGGAGAGGAACAUGAUGAUGAAUCCGGUGAACAUGGGGAUGCUGUAGCCGAUUCUGAGAGAACAAACGCGACGAUCGAUCGAACAACAACGAAACGGAGCCGAGUCUGUCGUCGUUCCCAGCCUCUUCCAUUGCCCGCGUAAAUGUCGAGGAAACGCUAUCGAUCGACGAACCAAGGCCGAACGGGAAGCACCAGUCUUCGACCAAGUCCGUUUCGUCCACCAGGAUCCACGUUCGGCACCAGGGGGAAUAAUUUCGAGGGUAUUUGUUUCUCGAAAUCGAAUCUUGGCUAGCAUAAUUAACAGCUGGUCCGAAGCUGGAGAUACGGCCGCGAAUCGAACCGUUACUUACCACCUGUGGAGUCGAACGAGAAAGCGAUAUAGAAAUUCCAGGCAGGAAGCCGGUUCACUUGUUGAUAUUAGGAAACUCUAGGGAAAACGCACGAGGUGCAACUUGUUGCUAACGCGGACCGUUUCGUCGAUUCUCCAAUUCACGUUGCAGGUCUCGCCUCGAAAUUCAGGAACACCUGUAGAAUCCUCUGGCAAAUGGAGCUCGAUGGGGACCAUAAGCAACCGCAGGACCACA